UACGUAGGGGCCUAGCGUUGUCCGGAUUUAUUGGGCGUAAAGAGCUCGUAGGCGGUUCGGCAAGUCGGAUGUGAAAUCUCCACGCUUAACGUGGAGGGGCCAUUCGAAACUGCCGUGACUCGAGUCCGGUAGGGGAGUGUGGAAUUCCCGGUGUAGCGGUGAAAUGCGUAGAGAUCGGGAGGAACACCUGUGGCGAAGGCGGCCCCCUGGGCCGGCCCGUGACACUGAGACGCGAAGGCGUGGGGAGCGAACGGG
rnacentral:rRNA from 1 species